rnacentral:rRNA from 1 species
UACGUAGGGUCCGAGCGUUGUCCGGAAUUACUGGGCGUAAAGAGCUCGUAGGCGGUUUGUCGCGUCUGCUGUGAAAACUCGGGGCUUAACCCCGGGCCUGCAGUGGGUACGGGCAGACUAGAGUGCGGUAGGGGAGACUGGAAUUCCUGGUGUAGCGGUGAAAUGCGCAGAUAUCAGGAGGAACACCGGUGGCGAAGGCGGGUCUCUGGGCCGUAACUGACGCUGAGGAGCGAAAGCGUGGGGAGCGAACAGG